AUGCUCCUGCUGCUCAUCCCAGUGCUUGAGAUGAUUUUUUUCCUGAGAGGAUCGGGAGCGCAGUCGGUGACCCAGCCCGAUGCCCACGUCACUGUCUCUGAAGGAGCCUUGCUGGAGCUGAAGUGCAACUAUAACUAUGGGGCGACUCCUGUUCUCUUCUGGUACGUCCAGUACCCCAACCGAGACUUCCAGCUUAUCCUCAAGUAUCUAUCAGGGGACUCCGUGGUUAAAGGCAUCAACAGUUUUGAGGCUAAACUUGAG